GUUGGAUUAGGUUUGAUAGUAUUUUGUUGAAGAUUUUUGUAUGUAUGUUCAUCAGUUAUUGGCCUAUAGAUCGCUUUUUUGUGGUGUCUUUAUCUGGUUU